CAACAUUCUAUCAAUCCAGCUGCUUCAGGAUGAUGGAGAACAUGGACCUGCUCGAGCCCAAUUACAUAUAUACCACUUCCAUUGGAUGAUGGAGUGCUGCUGUGCAUGACCCACUUUAUGGCUAGAUGGGUCCAAAACACCCAGUUCAUGAUAGGCAGUUCGGGUCACAUUGGUGAGUUGAUGAUCCAUAGUCAAACGUUCAGUUUCCACCAAAGCCCAGUAACAGGCCAAGAGCUGUAUCUCAAAAGGAGAGUAGUUAUUUGCAGAAGAUGACAGGGCCUUGCUCCAAAAUUCUAGAGGCCUCCACUGUGAUUCACCUAUUGGAGCCUGCCAAAGGCUCCAAAAAGCAUCCCUAUUUGCCACUGACACCUCAAGCACCGUUGGAUCUGCUGGGUCUUAUGGCCCAAGUGGCAGAGCAGCUUGCACAGCAGCUUGGACCUGUUGCAGAGCCUUCUCCUGUUAUGCACUCUACUCAAAACUGGCAGCCUUUUGGGUCACUCAAUAAAUGGGCUGGAGUAACACACCCAACUGAGGAAUGUGUUGCCUCCAAAAUCCAAAUAGG